CGGGGUCAAUGUCAGAUUUAGUCAUGCUGUUAUUUUAGCCCAGUGGUCCAGAGAGAUGACUGAAAAGUAAUACCUAGCAAAUACAGAAAGAGAGAUAAAGCAAGCAAGCUGUUUUGAAAGUGUCUAAUAUUGGCUGAUGUAGAGCUAUAGGAGAAGAUGGUAUAAACUGGUUCAUCAGUGACAAAGACAUUGAGGCCCAGAUAGCUAAUAACCGAACACCUGGAAGAUGGACCCAGCGGUACUAUUCAGCCAACAAAAACAUUAUCUGUAGAAAUUGUGACAAACGUGGCCAUUUAUCAAAAAACUGCCCCUUACCACGAAAAGUUCGUCGCUGCUUCCUGUGCUCCAGGAGAGGACAUCUCCUGUAUUCCUGUCCAGCCCCCCUUUGCGAAUACUGUCCUGUGCCUAAGAUGUUGGACCACUCAUGUCUUUUCAGACAUUCCUGGGAUAAACAGUGUGACCGAUGUCAUAUGCUAGGCCACUAUACAGAUGCUUGCACAGAAAUCUGGAGGCAGUAUCACCUAACGACCAAACCUGGACCACCCAAAAAGCCGAAGACCCCUUCAAGACCAUCAGCCUUAGCAUAUUGCUAUCACUGCGCGCAAAAAGGCCAUUAUGGACACGAAUGUCCAGAAAGAGAAGUGUAUGACCCGUCUCCAGUAUCUCCAUUCAUCUGCUACUAUGAUGACAAAUAUGAAAUUCAGGAGAGAGAAAAGAGACUAAAACAAAAAAUAAAAGUACUCAAGAAAAAUGGGGUUAUCCCAGAGCCAUCCAAGCUACCUUAUAUAAAAGCAGCAAAUGAGAACCCCCACCAUGAUAUAAGGAAGGGCCGUGCCUCAUGGAAAAGCAACAGGUGGCCUCAAGAAAAUAAAGAAACACAAAAA
rnacentral:sRNA from 1 species